ACAUACGACCAUACCUAGUGGAAAAUACGGGAUCCCGUCCGCUCUCCCAUAGUCAAGCCGCUAAGGGGAGGCUUGGCUAUGGGUCCUCCCUAUCACGUGCUGUAAUCC
rnacentral:rRNA from 1 species